rnacentral:rRNA from 1 species
GACGUAGGGUGCGAGCGUUGUCCGGAUUUAUUGGGCGUAAAGAGCUCGUAGGCGGUGUGUCACGUCGGCCGUGAAAACCUGCAGCUUAACUGUGGGCGUGCGGUCGAUACGGGCAUCACUGGAGUUCGGCAGGGGAGACUGGAAUUCCUGGUGUAGCGGUGAAAUGCGCAGAUAUCAGGAGGAACACCGGUGGCGAAGGCGGGUCUCUGGGCCGAUACUGACGCUGAGGAGCGAAAGCGUGGGGAGCGAACAGG